rnacentral:lncRNA from 10 species
CCCAGUCCUGUCUCAGCCAGUGACAGUGAAUCUGGAGGCUGUGCUGCAGGCGCUGGGGUCCGUGGUGGCAGUGGAGGAGCGCUCGCUCACAGGGACCUGGGAUUUGAGCAUGCUGCACCGCUGGAGCUGGAGGACGGGGCCUGGCCGCCACAGAGGUGACACCACCUCUCCCUCGAGGCCACCAGGAGGCCCCAUCAUCACCGUCCACCCAAAGGAAAUCCGGACGUUCUUUAUUCACUUUCAACAGCAGUGAGCCCUGGGCAGAUGCCCCGGCCCCAGGGCUUCCCCCAGGAACUCCAUGUAACAGAACAGACCCAGGACAGGGAAAAGCAGUGCGGAGGGAUGGGACUGGGGAGUCAGCUGCUCAUCUGCAGGCUAAUGGCAGGAAAUGGUCAUAUUUGGGGUUUUUCCCUAAUUUUUUUAAACAAAAAUUACAUUACAAGAUCCAGGUUCUUCCCCCCCACACUCAAUCAAGCCAGCCCUCUCCUCUUCUGUCACGUAAAGGAUAUUUGGCACACUCAUGCGUCAUUCAUUCACAAAACACAAACCCAGGACUUUCUGCCUAAGGCAGAGCACAAGACUCACAGCAGCACCGAAGCGCAUCUGCCGUCCGGGCCCUGCCAGGCUUGCCAGGCUGCCAGUGGUAACUGUGGACCUACUGCGUGCCACGUGUUUUCAUAGACUCAUCCCAUGCUGGCAACAGCCCUGCAAGGGGCUUGGCUCUGCCACAGGGCAGGAGAGGAAGUUGUAGCGCCUAGCGAGAGUUCCAGCCCCAGACGCCCACCUGUGCCUCAGGGCACCGCCUGCCGAGCAGAGAAGGCACAGCAGCCGUCAGAGUCCAUGAGAGGUGAAACCACACAGCAGGGAUGUCCAAUAUCAGAACUAUUAAUAUCAAUAAAAGUAUAACCUUCCCAGGUCUAUGCCCAAGAGAAUUGAAAACAUCCAUCCACACAAUACCUGUGCUCCCGCGUUCAUAGCAGCAUUACUCAAAAGUCAAACGGUAGCAACAACCCAAAUGUCCAUCCACAGAUGAAUUAAGACAUGAAGUGUGUUCUGUCCAUACAAUGGAAUAUUAUUUGGCCAUAAAAAGGAAGGAAAUUCUGACGCAUGCCACAGCCUGAGUGAAUCCUACAAAUAUUACGCUAAGUGAAAGAAGCCAAUCACGAGUUUAUGUGAAAUGUCCAGAAUAGGCAAAUCUGUGUAUCAGAGACAAAGCACAUUGGUGGUUGCCAGGUACUGGAGGAAGAGAGAAGAGGCAUGACAGCUAACAGGGACGGGCUUUCUUUGGAAGAUGAUGAAAUUGUGGAAUGAUGGUUGCACAACUUUGUGAAUAUACUAGAAACCAAUGAAUUAAAAACUUUG